AGCGAACGCUGGCGGCAGGCUUAACACAUGCAAGUCGAGCGGGCGUAGCAAUACGUCAGCGGCAGACGGGUGAGUAACGCGGGGGAACGUACCUUUUGGUUCGGAACAACACAGGGAAACUUGUGCUAAUACCGGAUAAGCCCUUACGGGGAAAGAUUUAUCGCCGAAAGAUCGGCCGGCGUCUGAUUAGUUAGUUGGUGAGGUAACGGCUCACCAAGGCGACGAUCAGUAGCUGGUCUGAGAGGAUGAUCAGACACAUUGGGGCUGAGACACGGCGCAAACUCCUACGGGAGGCAGCAGAGGGGAAUAUUGGACAAUGGGGGCAGCCCUGAUCCAGCCAUGCCGCGUGAGUGAUGAAGGCCCUAGGGUAGUAAAGCUCUUUUGUGCGGGAAGAUAAUGACGGUACCGAAAGAAUAAGCCCCGGCUAACUUCGUG
rnacentral:rRNA from 1 species